CCUACGGGGGGCAGCAGUGGGGGAUAUUGCACAAUGGGGGAAACCCUGAUGCAGCGACGCCGCGUGAGCGAUGAAGUAUUUCGGUAUGUAAAGCUCUAUCAGCAGGGAAGAAAAUGACGGUACCUGACUAAGAAGCCCCGGCUAACUACGUGCCAGCAGCCGCGGUAAUACGUAGGGGGCAAGCGCUAUCCGGAUUUACUGGGUGUAAAGGGAGCGUAGACGGCAUAGCAAGUCUGAAGUGAAAGCCCAAGGCUCAACCAUGGGACUGCU
rnacentral:rRNA from 1 species